CAAUUCAUUUUGGUAAACCUAAGGUUUGGCUGAUGUCUCUAACAGUUUUAUUCUUGUUUCUCAGUCUCAUAAUGACUUCUUUAACUUUCAUAGGCACAACUCUGGUGCUCAUGUUGAUAAACAGCAAUAAAAGUUUCCAAAGGUGAUGGAAAGACUGGAGGAAAGGUUAGAUGCUGAGGGCUCUCUUAUACCUGCAUUAAGGAGGCAAUUAAACACACCUGAGCAAUUACAAAUGCCUGUG